rnacentral:rRNA from 1 species
GUCGAUUUGGGGAUUGGACUGUGAGUCUGGUGCCCUAAGCUAACGUGAU